UAGCCUAGUGGUUAAGGCAAUGGAUCGCCAUUCCGGAGACGGCGGGUUCGAUUCCCGU
rnacentral:tRNA from 1 species